UACGGGGGGGGCAAGCGUUGUUCGGAAUUACUGGGCGUAAAGGGCUCGUAGGUGGCCAACUAAGUCGGACGUGAAAUCCCUCAGCUUAACUGGGGAACUGCGUCCGAUACUGGAUGGCUUGAGUUUGGGAGAGGGAUGCGGAAUUCCAGGUGUAGCGGUGAAAUGCGUAGAUAUCUGCAGGAACACCCGUGGCGAAAGCGGCGAGCUGGACCACUACUGACGCUGAAGAACGAAAGCUAGGGGAGCAAACAGG
rnacentral:rRNA from 1 species